CCCUCUCUGCUCCCUCAGUCCAUCUGCUUUACUAACACACACACCUCAUCCUCUCAGUGUCUAUCCUGAUCUGGAUCUCUGUUCAUAACACUAAAAACAAGCAAAAGGAACACUGACUUCUUGGGCUGACAUACAUCUAAAACAGAGGAGAGAGGAAGAAGAAGGAGCGGACUGUUAGCUGGUUAGCUGUUGCAGCUAUUUUCUCUGAACCUUGUGAUAAUAUCGUACUUGUGAUAUCUUAUGACCACGGUGAUCGUGAGGUGAAAUUCAUGACAGUCUUAGUAAAUACAAAAAUAGAGUUCAGUCACUGCAGAAAGGAAACUGUUGAACUGUCUGCUCACGCAGUCACUCACAGAGUGAUGAACCUACACCAUGUCAGAGCUCCCUAUGCACUCGAACUUCAGGUGAUGGUCUUUUUUUUAUUGUAAACAACUUUUUCUCUGUUUUAUUGUCUCUUUCCUAACUUUUGUAAACGGGUUGGUGGUAUCAUAUUUUAGAUAAGAAAAUAAAACUGUGAUUUUGUUCUUUCAUCACCAUGAAUGUUGGUCUAAUCAUCAUAAUACAACAUUUUUGUGACGGGAUGAAACAUGACAGUGAACAGGACUGAGUCUGAGGUCUAAACGGUGUUUAACCAGGUGAUGAAGCUGCGACAGGUCCGUGUUUCAUGUUGUUUUCUGCGUAUUUAACUGAUAAUAUUUAGUGACUUUAUUAUCUUCCAAAAAUGAAGAUGGAAACCCAUGAUUGUCGUUGUUGUUGGAGUUCACAUUCAGUUCACGUUCACGUCGAGCUCAAUGUUUUGAGGUUUUUCUGACUUCAGAGCGGAGGAAACCUCAGAGGAGCUCCGGGCUGAACAGAGUGAGGGAGGUAUGGGAAUGUGGACUUAUCUUCUUCCCGUCUCUGCUCUCAGAUCUGUAUCUGACACACAAGGCGUCCACCUGUUACAAAACGACCUGAGCUGGUAAGUGAUUGGUCGGAGGGCCUGGGGAUCAUCGGUACAUCGCUCCACAGAAGGUCAAACGUUCGCUCCUGUUUGUGUGUUCAGACCGAAAACACAUCAUUUACAAAAACAAGUAUUCAGGACUGAAGAGCUGAACCGUGUCAGAGUGAUGUGGAGGGAAAGAGAAGACGCUUUCUCAGAAUGAGGCGUUGAGGAAAGAUAACACCUGGUGGAGCAGAGUAUCUGAGCAGCCAAUCAGUGAGCAGCCCUCAACAUACCUGAGGAGAGGCUGGAGGGCGUCACAUGUCCCACAUCUCACCUGAUCAUCUGCACCUGACGAGAAUAUGACACCAGAAUCAAUAGAAAGAGUUAAAUAACGA